rnacentral:tRNA from 1 species
GCUGUGAUGGCCGAGUGGUAAAGGCGCUGGACUUGAAAUCCAAUGGGGUUUCCGCGAGGUUCGGAACCCUGCUCGUGAGCA